rnacentral:rRNA from 1 species
CAGUCGCCGCGGGAAUACGGAGGGGGCUAGCGUUGUUCGGAAUUACUGGGCGUAAAGCGCACGUAGGCGGCUUGGUAAGUUAGAGGUGAAAGCCCGGAGCUCAACUCCGGAAUUGCCUUUAAGACUGCCGAGCUAGUAGGUGAGAGAGGUAAGUGGAAUUCCGAGUGUAGAGGUGAAAUUCGUAGAUAUUCGGAAGAACACCAGUGGCGAAGGCGGCUUACUGGCUCAUUCUAGACGCUGAGGUGCGAAAGCGUGGGGAGCAAACAGGAUUAGAGACCCGUGUAGUCCCUGUCUCUUAUAC